UGCUGUAUAGCGUAGAUGGUAGCGCGUGUGACUUUGAAUCACAAGGUAACAGUUCGAUUCUGUUUACAGCUGUCAA
rnacentral:tRNA from 1 species